AGUGAACGCUGGCGGUAGGCCUAACACAUGCAAGUCGAACGGCAGCACAGUAAGAGCUUGCUCUUACGGGUGGCGAGUGGCGGACGGGUGAGGAAUACAUCGGAAUCUACUUUUUCGUGGGGGAUAACGUAGGGAAACUUACGCUAAUACCGCAUACGACCUACGGGUGAAAGCAGGGGAUCUUCGGACCUUGCGCAAUUGAAUGAGCCGAUGUCGGAUUAGCUAGUUGGCGGGGUAAAGGCCCACCAAGGCGACGAUCCGUAGCUGGUCUGAGAGGAUGAUCAGCCAAACUGGAACUGAGACACGGUCCAGACUCCUACGGGAGGCAGCAGUGGGGAAUAUUGGACAAUGGGCGCAAGCCUGAUCCAGCCAUACCGCGUGGGUGAAGAAGGCCUUCGGGUUGUAAAGCCCUUUUGUUGGGAAAGAAAAGCAGCAGGUUAAUACCCCGCUGUUCUGACGGUACCCAAAGAAUAAGCACCGGCUAACUUCGU
rnacentral:rRNA from 1 species